rnacentral:rRNA from 1 species
UUAAGCUAUAAAGAGCAUAGGGUGGAUGCCUAGGCACUGAGAGCCGAUGAAAGACGUGAUAAGCUGCGAUAAGCUGCGGUAAGGAGCAAAUAUCCAUUGACCCGCAGAUUUCUGAAUGGGGAAACCUACGCAAGAAGACCUUGCGUACUCAUGCAUGAAUACAUAGUGUAUGAGAGGGAACCCGGGGAACUGAAACAUCUAAGUACCCGGAGGAAGAGAAAGAAACAUCGAUUUCCUGAGUAGCGGCGAGCGAAAGGGAAAGAGCCCAAACCAGAGGAUUUAUCCUUUGGGGUUAGGACUGCAUAAUUGAUCUGCAAUUGAUAGGAGAACGGUCUGGGAAGUCCGGCGAGAAAGCGUGAAAGCCGCGUAUCCGAAAUCGAAAGCAGCAAGGCAGGAUCCAGAGUACCACGAGACACGAGAAACCUUGUGGGAAUGAGCGGAGACCACUCCGUAAGGCUAAAUACUACUCAGUGACCGAUAGCGCAUAGUACUGUGAAGGAAAGGUGAAAAGGACCCCGGGAGGGGAGUGAAAGAGAACCUGAAACCCUGUGUUUACAAGCUGUCGAAGCACGCAAGUGCGACGGCGUACUUUUUGUAGAACGGUCCGGCGAGUUAUGAUGAGUGGUAAGGUUAAGGACUUAAGGUCCGGAGCCGAAGCGAAAGCGAGUGUUAAAAGCACGGUUGAAUCGCUUAUCAUAGACCCGAAACCGGGUGAUCUAUCCAUGUCCAGGUUGAAGCUGCCGUAAGAGGUAGUGGAGGACCGAACACACAUCCGUUGAAAAGGGUGGUGAUGAGGUGUGGAUAGGGGAGAAAUUCCAAUCGAACCCGGAGAUAGCUGGUUCUCCUCGAAAUAGCUUUAGGGCUAGCCUCUGGUUAGUCUGCCGCAGGUAGAGCACUGAAUUUCCUAGGGGGCGUCAAAGCCUACCGAAGAAUAUCAAACUGCGAAUGGCGGACAGAUGAUGCUGGGGAGUCAGACUGCACGAGAUAAGUUGGGUGGUCAAAAGGGAAAGAGCCCAGACCUACAGCUAAGGUCCCAAAGUGCGUGUUAAGUGGAAAAGGAUGUGGGAUUUCGAAGACAACUAGGAUGUUGGCUCAGAAGCAGCCACACAUUAAAAGAGUGCGUAAUAGCUCACUAGUCGAGAGGUCCUGCGCCGAAAAUGUCCGGGGCUAAAACACAACACCGAAGCUUAGGAAUUCUAAUGAAUUGGUAGAGGAGCAUUGAAGACGGAACGAAGCCAUACCGGAAGGAAUGGUGGACUGUCUUGAAGAGAGAAUGCCGGAAUGAGUAGCGAGAUUGAAGUGAGAAUCUUCAAGGCCGAAUAUCUAAGGUUUCCAGGGUAAAGCUGAUCUGCCCUGGGUAAGUCGGGGCCUAAGGCAAGGUCGAAAGACGUAGUCGAUGGAUAACAGGUUGAAAUUCCUGUACUGCAUCAAAUCAGAAAUGUGGGGACACAUGAGGGAAGCAUGAGCCGGAAAAGGAAAGUCCGGUACAAGCGCAGCAGAGGACAGAUAGGCAAAACCGUCUGUCAACUCAAGGGCGUGAUGUGGAGCGAACCAAAGUAGCGAAGCAUGUGGAGCUUGUGUCGAGAAAAGCCGCUAUAGUGUUUGAUGUACCCGUACCGUAAACCGACACAGGUGGAUGAGGAGAGAAUCCUAAGGCCGGCGGGAGAAGCAUUGUUAAGGAACUCGGCAAAAUGACCCCGUAACUUCGGGAGAAGGGGUGCUCCAGAGAUGGAGCCGCAGAGAACUGGCCCAAGCAACUGUUUAGCAAAAACACAGGUCUAUGCAAAACCGAAAGGUGAGGUAUAUGGGCUGACGCCUGCCCGGUGCUGGAAGGUUAAGAGGAGAUGUUAGAGCAAUCGAAGCAUUGAAUUUAAGCCCCAGUAAACGGCGGCCGUAACUAUAACGGUCCUAAGGUAGCGAAAUUCCUUGUCGGG